rnacentral:lncRNA from 1 species
UGGCGCAGCAAGGACAGCAGUAGGUCGUGCGGUGCGUUCGUUGGUUGCGGGGGACGCCGGUGAGAGGACAACGAUGACGCUAGUGCUCGGAGGUGCUGCAGGUGACGAUGGGCUUUGUGCAGCAGGAGGCAAAAGCGUUGCUGUUGGUCGCGAUCGCGGCAAAGGCGUCGAGUGUGGCAGCUAGUGCAGGUGUGGUGGAGGUGCAGGCACAUCGAAGCUGGUGUCGUCAAGUGCCGCGGCGUCAAGCUCGGCGAGAACAGGGAGAUUGGUGAGCGAAGCUGGACACAAGCACUGCAAGCGUUCGGGCUCGCGGGUCGCCGGAGGCAAGGCGUAGGCGUCGGGUACGGCGGGCUUCGGCCACCGAGCGAGCAGGAGGCGAGCUGCUAAGACUAAGGUCCGAGUGACGUGCAGUGGGGUCGCGGGUCACCGGUGUGAGGCGGUGCUGGUGAGGUGACCGGUGCGGCUCGGUGGCUUCGCGGCUGCGGGUGGAGGGUGGUGCCGCUGGUGCUCGAGCAGAUCUGGGCAGAGGGUUUGAGCGGAUCGGGAAGCGGCGCCGUCGGCAGAGGAGCGGCGGUCGGCGAUUCGGAGGUGGCUGGCGGCCCGGGCAGCAGGCGGUGUCCGGUGCUGUUAAUCGGAAGGUGGAGGCGCCACAAUGGUCGCGGUCGAGAGGAAGAAGAUGAGCAGUGUUCUGCUCUUUUCCCUUUUUCUGCUGCUGGGUCCCGCCGAUCCCCUCU